GAGGGUGUAGCUCAGGGGAAGAGCACGUGCUUACCACGCAUGAGGUCCUGGGUUCCAUCCCCAGUCCCUCCA
rfam:Camelus ferus unplaced genomic scaffold scaffold372, whole genome shotgun sequence.